rnacentral:misc_RNA from 1 species
UUGAACUCUUUGAAUCCAGCAAU